GCCGGGCGCGGUGGCGCGCGCCUGUAGUCCCAGCUACUCGGGAGGCUGAGGCUGGAGGAUCGCUUGAGCUCAGGAGUUCUGGGCUGCAGUGCGCUAUGCCGAUCGGGUGUCCGCACUAAGUUCGGCAUCAAUAUGGUGACCUCCCGGGAGCGGGGGACCACCAGGUUGCCUAAGGAGGGGUGAACCGGCCCAGGUCGGAAACGGAGCAGGUCAAAACUCCCGUGCUGAUCAGUAGUGGGAUCGCGCCUGUGAAUAGCCACUGUACUCCAGCCUGGGCAACAUAGCGAGACCCCGUCUCUUU
rnacentral:SRP_RNA from 8 species